CUGUGAUUUCCAGAGUUUCCUGAAAGCAGCAUGUAACUGUUUCUGAAACUAGCCAAAAGUUGGCUGGCUAGCAAACGGCUCAGCAGCCUCUACAGACAUUGUGACAGAGGCUGAGAGACUGAAGACGACAUUGACGGAGGAAUCUGAGGAGAAAAAGAAACAAUGAGAGGCAAAAGUAAAAACUCAGGCUGGCUGAAGACGGCGCCAAUAAAUGCCAGGCUGGACGUGUUGCUGUUGAGUAGUCUGUUUGGCAUGCAGGAGGCUCCUGAGGCCUGGCGCGUCUAAAGGGCAGGGCGCCCAGAGGCAGGAGACGCGCCCUCACUGACAAACACCAUCUACCCCAGACCCCCGAGCUGCUACGAGGAGCCACAACACCAGCCACAGCUCCACGACCAGGUUUUGCCUCAUACAUCUCCACAAACGUACACAUCUACACCCUCAGUCUGAGUGCUGGGGCCAUAACCUCUGCUUAUUUGGAGAGCAGCUUGCUCAUCUGCUCAGGUGUUAAAUGCCAGGCGUAUGGAUCAAAGCAUCUGCCUUGAGAAACUGCAUUAACUAUGGAUUGGCCUUCUCCUGGUUGAGAGGAGAUUUUUUGGGGGGGUGAAACAGUGACAAAGAGCGGAGGUUGCAGAGGAAGGAUGGAGGACAGAGGGAGUUAUGGAGGUGCAGCUGUCUUCGUGUCUCCCUCCAUCCCUCACUCUAUUAUUCCCACCCAUAUUUUUUUUUACUCUUUCAAAUGCAUUUACAUGUGCUCAGGUAUUUCCCCCGGGAGCGCGACUCCAAUUCAGGGGGUAAGAUAAGCCAUCAAAGUCGGUGACAGAGAGGGCAUAUGGGUGACUCAAUGACAGGCUGAGUAGAAAGACAGUCAGGAGAGCUGCCACGACACGCAGACACACACACACACACACACACACAUCCACAUUGACACAAACAGCGCGCAAUGAUUUCAUCUGCACAAGCCGCACCUUUACUUCGCAGUAUAAAGACUCCACAGGAAAAAGAAGACAUUAAGAGGAAAACAGAGGUGCAGCUCCAUUCACAGCACGCGCGCACACACACACACACACACACACACACACACACACACACACAGUACAUACGGUUUUGCACGUACAAUGGCAUUUUCUCCCCAACAACUGCUCUUGUUUAGUAUGCGCUUCCUUUGGUCUUGAGGAGGAAUGAUCCUCACUCUAAUGAACUAGGGCCUGCCACUUGAAUGUAAAACAGGAUUUAACCCGUCUUCAAUGUCAGAGCCCCUCCCUGGGGCUGCUUCAGACAACACACACACACACACACACACACACACACGCUUGCAAAUUCACAGAGAUGCACACACAUACACAGACACACUUGCAAACUGCCAAUGCACAUACAUACACACGUUGAUGCAUGCCCACAUGUAGCCUCUCAUAAAUGAGACACAGUGUGUGUUCGCUCUCACCUGCUUCACCAUUUCCCCCUUUUAUUAACGAUCAAUAUUGUUGUGUUUUAUUGUGUGUUUUAUUGUGUUUUGUCCACUCCGGGGAUAUUCAAGAUCGCCCACCUGCUUCGCUGAUGACACAGACAUCUUUUAUUCAUUCCGCCGCUGAUUCGUCCCUUGUGUUUGCUACUCUUGGCCGUGUUGUUGGUUGAAUUUUGUGUCAUAUGAAUGUCUGCUCCACGUCGGAAGAGUUGGUGUUUUGUGAAGGAGACUAACAAAUCAAACAUAUGCAAAUGUGGCUUGGAACAAACUUGAUUACCUUAAAAUAUGUGUCCCAAAUGAUCCCACAAAAACUUAAUUAACUGCGUCAAACAUACGCUGAAUCAUGCCAUUCCAUACAUCUUAAUGGCUGAAGUGAUGUGCAGCACGGAUGCAAGAAAGAAUAUGACAAAGCCUUUGAGUUGUGCUCCUCUACUGGAAUAUUUUAUUGUUAUUGUCAUCUGUAUCACUGUUCUUCUUUUUUACAUUUGUUCAUUUUAUCUGAUGAGCGGGUGGAGUAUUCACAAAGAUGGGAGGAUAACGUUAGCUUCACAGUGAUGGGCAAGGGGUUAGCUGUUUAAUUCAACCAAAAUGUAACAGACAGAAAUAAAACAAACAAACAAAAAAAAGCAUACACACUUGUACAAGCCAGUGCGCACGCACACAGUAUAUCAUUGAACACCCAAAAGUAUGUGUGACAGCUACAGUAUGGGUGUGUAGUGCACAUCGUAUCUGAACAAAUACUUUUUAAUUUUUUUUUUCAUAGAUUUUCAUGUAAACUCAUCCCUCGGGUCAGACAGGCGACUGUAAUCUCAAACUGGGAGCAGAAUAAAAACAGCGUACGUACAGUGUCUGUCAUUAUGGCAUCACUUUAAAAGAAAUGUAGGUGUUAUUUUCACCAAAUGUUGGAUCAGUUAGAAGGAUUUUAUUUCAAAGUGCUGGAGAAUUAUCUGAUGUUUUGAGUACUUGUAUCAUUGAUCAUUAUUAUUAUUGCGUUUCUGUGUGUGUGCGUGUGUGUGAAAAUUAGAUUUUUUUUUUUAAAAGUGUGUUUGGCUGUAUUGACACCGGCAUUUUGUCAAAAAGUGGUCAAUUUUUCAAAUGUUAAAGGGGCACUACGUAGUUUUGGAACAGAAAUUAAAACUAAGAAUUUUAACAUGAGGUAACAAUAUCAAUUCAGAAAUAGUUAUUUGUUCCAUAACUGAAUAAACAAGCUGUUCUCAGAAGGAAAUCAGAUCCACAGAACACUGUUUGAAGCUAGAAAGGUGUCAGGGUCUGCCACAUAUGAAGUAAACACUAUGAGAUUGUGUUGUUGCAUAAGUCAGUUUGCUUACUCAGUUUAUUCAGUCAUGAAGACAAAGAGAGUUUAUUUAGUUUGUUUAGACAUAAAAACAUCAGUCAGAGAAGAUCUUUGUCUUUGACUUAAAAGUUCUUCCCAAAAACUACAUUGUGCACCUUUAAAUAUCACAUUUAGUAACAGAGAUUCUCUCCUGUUUGAGCAUCUUUUAGACGGCACUAUUGUUUGUGACUCACUUCAGUUCAAAUGAGAGAUAAAAUAUUCUGAUCAGUAAUUUAAAAAAAAAAAAAAAACAGUUUUAUUAUUUUCAUAUAAAAGUUGUUUUGUAUUUGUUUGUUUUAUUUUUUUCAGUCGUGAAAGGAAUUCCAAUCAAUCCGCAUUACGCAGAAAUUAAAAGUGUUUCGUGUUUCCACUUCUGAAUCUAAAACUUCCUGAACUGAAAACAAUAUCCGAACAAUUCAGGGCGAUGUUUUUAUUGACCUCUGACGGUCAUCUUUUUAAUGACCACAUGGGGUCUGUUUACUUCUCUGACCGUUUAUCCUUCUCUAGCACACCGUGGCCAGGCUAUGAUAUUAGUGACCACUCUUGCAUUGUUUUCUGUUUUAACAGGAUCACACAGGGAGUGUUAAGUGAUGAAGUGCUUUGAGUUCACAGCAGAACAAAUUUCAGUAAGUGCUCAGAAAAAACACAGAGGCUUUAAAUGAUAAUAAACACUCAUGUCCAGCACCGUUUUCCCCCUCUUCCUAAAAACAUUUUCAGAAAUAUCUUUUUUUUUUCAGAAUAAUAAAAAAGUACUUGGAUGAUAUUAUACAUCCAGUAAAACAAUGUUAUUCUGUCUGUCUAGAAACAUUUUUCCACACAAUCGCCGUCCUUCCUUUUUAUCUGGUGAAAAAUAUCAAAAAUCAAUAAAAAAAGAAAUUAAAAAAAAAAGAAUAUGGCUUUCACACACAAACACAACCGCAGCAUCAUACAUAAUAUACUAUAAUUAAUUCUCAGUUAAACAAAUGGCCUUCCUAUGAUCAAACAACAGAAGUAGAGUCCUGUCUGCAUUGCAUUUUCUUCCCUUAUACAUAAUGGAAUGUCUGGGACGACAUUAGUCAUAUUUUUGUCCCAACAGUGUGCUUUAAGUAUGGCUGACUGAUGUAUACAUGGAUUUUUUAAAUUUUUUUUCAUAAUUAUCAUUACUUUGAAUCUCAAUACAAAAACACCAGAGGGCUGUCUCCAGCUAUUUUUAAGGGGAAACCCUAUAAUCACCUGCAGUGUAAGAGACGAUUUGUGUAAUACUGCAAUAAUAAAAAUUUAUAUUCCAAAGUCA